AGUGGUGACAGUAAGUCAUGGCCGACAGGAUUCUCUGCUUUGAAAAAUGAUGGUGUAAAGUUUUUGUUUUAAAAGCACUCAAGGAGAAGUUGAAUCCAGGACUUCUGUUUGAUCCUAUGUCCAGUACAGCCAUAGUUAUAAAUCUACAACUAUGGCUAAACGAGAAAGUAUUGUGAGCCGAAUGAAGAGGUUGCUGAGAAGCCGAAAGUCCAGACAUGGCUUGAGUCAGGGCCCAGGUGACUUACCUUCUUCGCCCAAAGAUUUCUUUCCUACGAUGGCAAGCAACAAUCAAGGAUGGCCAGAAGAGUUUGGAUUUCAUAUCAGCGGGAAUGGUCCAUGCUACAUCCUUUCUGUGCAAGAGGGCAGUAGUGCCCAUGUUGCAGGUCUGCAGCCAGGAGAUCAGAUUCUGGAAAUUGAGGGACAGGAUGUGUCAUCCCUGAGCAGUGACACUAUAAUCAAUUUAGCCAGACAUUGUAAAACUGUUCCUCCAAGUGUUGGUGUGGUGUCUCGUAUUGAGCAGAUAGACCUCCUGCCUGCAGCAGAUGGAAGAUUUGGUUUUAACCUGAGUGGUGACAGUCCUCUGCAGAUUGAGGAUUGUCUCCCAGAUUCGCCUGCAGCCGAACUUGGACUCAAGAGUGGUGACUAUAUUAUGGAGGUUAACGGGAUCCCAGUAAAAAACUAUGAAGUUGCAGCUGCAAUGAUAAAGGCCAAUCAUGGGAAACCAUUGAAACUGGGAGUCCUAUGCUUGGGGAAGAGACAAAAACGGAUCAGCAGCAGUAUCCGCGAAUAUGUUCAAAAUGCUGAUGCGAUACAUCAGGAGAGGAAGUCUCAAGCUUUGGAAUUUAAUAAAAAGAUUGAAGCUAUGCUUGGGGAGCAGCCUGAAGUGAAAGAGAAGCUAUACACCCUCCUAAAGCAGUAUGCAGCUGAACGCAAGGUUGAUUACUUGGCCUAUGGACUCCCUAUGAUAUUGUGUAGCGAAGAGCAGCAGCAGCUCAUUGAUGACAUCAGGAUUUUUAUUCCAAAGAAGCACCGGCAGCGGUUCGAUGAGGUGGUCUCACAGAGUCUUAUCAGCAAGAUUCGCAGCAGCAAGAACAGGAUUGACAGCAGCAGCCGGCUACGUAGAAGCAGGAGCGAAGACCACCAAGAACGCCUGCUUGUCUCCACCCGUGCCAGCUCAACUCCUCGGAAUCCGGAGGAACCAGGGCAGAGCAUCCGAAAGACAGGCUCUAUCUUAGGAGGAAGCGUGAGGGCAGGAACCUCCCGCAGAACGAUCCGUGUAUACAAAGGCCACAAAAGUUUUGGCUUUACCCUGCGAGGCCAUGGCCCUGUAUGGCUUGAGUCCAUUAUCCCUGGAAGUCCUGCUGAAAAAUCCGGAUUGAAGGCAGGUGAUCGAAUUUUGUUUCUCAAUGGGCUGGACAUGAGAAACUGCUCCCAUGAGAAGGUGGUGGCAAUGUUACAGGGCAGUGGAGCAAUGCCCACGCUUGUGGUGGAAGAUGGACCUUUUAAUUACCCCCUUGAGCCGGACCCUGCAGAAUCGUCCACAUACUCCUCAUCACUGACAUCUCUACAGUGGGUGUCUGAAAUCUUGCCACCCAGUAUAAAGGUUCAAGGAAGAACCUUCACCCAGCAACUGGAGCACCUCCUGACACCCAAUGAGCGGUACAGUGUCUGUAAGGCACUUGAGGGCUUCUUCCAGCACAGGAACAUUGAUACUUUGAUUGUUGACAUCUACCCUGUAUUGGAUACGCCAGCAAAGCAGGUAAUUUGGCAGUUCAUCUACCAGCUACUGACAUAUGAGGAGCAGGAACACUGUCAUCAGAAGAUUGCCAGAUUCCUGGGAUACAAGGCAGCUGCAGAGUCCGGAGAAGGUGAGCUAAUAUCUGAAGGGCCUCGUCGUAACUCUGUCAGAACCUCAUCGGUUUAUCAUGGCAGUGUGCGUGUUCGUGCUUCCAAAGAAUCCACAGCAGGAGGUCCUGGGGAUGCUGUAGAUACGUAUAUCCGCCUUACUCCUGGAGAGCGACAAUCAGGAGACGGUACAUCUCUCCCUGAGACACCCAACCUGAGAAAGAUAUCUCCUGUCUAUGCUGAAAUAGAAACCCGUGGAGGGUCUGGCUAUGCAGGAAAAAUGAUGAAACCGUCACUGCCCAGAACAUCUCCGGUACCUGAACAACUGAGCCAUUCAGGCAGUAAAAAGUUGGGGAUGUCUCUGUCAUGGCAGACAGAGCCUCAUCCCAUGCACUCUUGUCGUUGUCAAGCUCCUAAUGAUCCCUCCCCGACUAAUUCGGACCCACACCCCUAUGUCAGCCUAGACGGCAGCCCUAGCCCCUCACCCCAGAACGUGGAAGUCAUGAACAGUCCCCCACACCGUCGCAAGAAGCUCUUCACAUUCUCCCGCCCUCCUCGCAGCCGUGAUACAGACCGAUUUCUGGAUGCCCUGAGUGAGCAGCUAGGACAGAAGGUGACCAUCAUGGACGAGUUCAUGAACCCAGAGAACGAUUACGAAGAAAUGACCUUUCCAGAGGAGCAGGGAAUCUAUAGCAUAAAUGACCCGAGCAGCCCCAGUGAAUAUGCCAGUAGCAGUGAUGAUGGAAGCUCCUUAACGUAUUCAUCAUGUUCGGAUCCUAUCCCACCUCCUCCUCAAAGUCCCCCCCCUCCACCACCCAUACAGUUCAAUGACCCAAAACCUGCCGCCUUAAUCUCUGAGUUGAAAAGGGUCAUCCCACCUCCACCUCCACUACCUCCACCCCCCUCUUACUCCUCUAGCCACCAUCAGUCUAUUCCUCUCCCACCACCUCCUCCUCCUCCUCCAUUACCACCCUCGACUGGUCCCCCUCCAUUGCACCGUGGCUUUCACCGUAGAAGUGAAUCCAGUCACAUGAGUGUGAAGAGGCUGCGAUGGGAACAAGUGGAGAAUUCUGAAGGCACCAUUUGGGGUCAGUUUGGAGAGGACUCGGAUUAUGACAAGCUGAGCGAUAUGGUCAAGUAUCUAGAUCUGGAGCUGCAUUUUGGGACCCAGAGACCAAACAAAGCAAGUUUUGCACCUGAAACCUUUAAGAAGAAGGAUGUGGUGGAAAUACUAUCUCGUAAGAAGGCCUACAAUAUAUCUAUUCUCAUUGCCCACCUGAAACUCUCUGCACCAGAGCUCCGGCGGAUCCUUGUGACAAUGGAGAAUGAUCGUCUGGAACCUUCUCAUAUUAAACAAUUGCUACUGUAUGCUCCUGAUGAGGAAGAGUUGAAGAAUUUCAGGCGGCACAUGGCUGAUCCCAGUAAGCUGAGUGAGCCGGACCAAUUCGCCCUGGAGAUGCUGUCAGUAAAGGAAUAUAAAAUCAGACUGAAGAGCUUGCAUUUCAAGGUCACAUUGCAAGAGAAGACAGAGGAGAUAAAGUCUGGACUGCAGUGUAUCUACAAGGCCUCAGUCGAACUGAAAAGUGGCAAGAAACUGGCAAAGAUUCUUGAGUUUGUUCUUGCAAUGGGAAACUAUCUCAACAAUGGACAGCCUAAGAGCCCCAAAACCACAGGAUUUAAAAUUAAUUUUCUGACAGAGCUUGACACCACAAAGACUGUAGAUGGGAAAUCUACCUUUUUGCACAUUCUUGCCAAAUCACUGAGCCAACACUUUCCUGAGCUGCUGGACUUUGCCAAGGAGAUUCCAACUGUGGCCCUUGCUGCAAAAGUUAAUCAGAGAACGAUAACUUCUGAAAUUAAUGACAUCCACACAAUCAGGAAGGACAUACAGACAGUCUGUGAGAACAUGGCAGUCACCGAUGAGGACCGAUUUGCUGCAGUCAUGACUGCAUUUCUUGGAGAUGCCCAGCCUGUUAUUGCUUCCCUCGACUCCCUGCAGAAUCGAGCCAUUGAGGAAUUCCACAAAGUCUCAACGUUUUUUGGGGAAGAUUCUAAGAUGACCACAACUGAAGCUUUUUUUGGGAUAUUUGCAGAAUUUAUCACAAAGUUUGAGAAAGCAUACAGCGAUAUACAGGCCUCUGUGAACCUGCAGAACCUGAAGGUGGUUUCCCCACUUGCCUGGUGACAUAAAUGACGCUUCUCCAUUUACAGCAGUUUUGCCAAAAAGUGCAGUGUUGUUGGACUGUCACAGUAAUACCCGACUGAAGGAAUUAUGGGAGGCUAUCUGAAACCAUCCGCCAGUUCAGAGUUAAUGGCUUCAGAAGAGGAAAACUGAAAUCCCUAAGAAUUUUGAGAGUCUCUCAGUAACCAACAUCCAGAAAGUUGGACUUUGGGCCCAUUGUUACUGACACCCCAGAAACAGGAGAAGUUAUUUUCCAUCACCAAGGACUCUGAAAAUUCCAUCCGUGUUCAUACUUUUAAAAGUAAAUGUGCUUCCCUCCUACCCAACCCCUGCCCCCUUUAUUGCUGAUGCUGGAGAGAUUAUUUAACUUUUCUUUGUUAAAUUUUCAUCAUGGGCAUUCACCAUUUCUGAAGCCGUGGUUCCAACCCUUCCCCAACCUUGUCUGAAAUGGAAAGGGUCCUAUUCUGAGAGUUUGCUUGAAGAUUUGCUCUUUUACUGUUUUGUACAAGUGUUUUGGCCCAAGUCUUUGGUUAUCAUGUUUCCUGCUUAUUUAGACAAUCCUUGCUGGAUUUUACAACCUGUGCUUUCUACCUAAAACCCUGUAAAAGUGCCAGCUGGUCUGUGUGAUAUAUGCUUUGUGAUUUAGAGGGAACGAUUAUUCGGUCUGAAGCCACUAUUUAUUCAAAUAAUGUCAUUUUUAUAAAAUGUAAAACUGUCAUCCCAUCUGGCUGGGUCAUUGUGCUGAAUAAAUCUGAAUCCAGCCCUUUUAGCUUGUGCUGCCUUUGAUGCUGGGUCAGGUGGUCCAUCGACAGGAUAUAUUUCAGUAGAGCUCAGUUAUGGGUCUUAAAGCUCAUUACUGUUUUUAUUGUGUGAGCAUGAUUUCUGGGGUCCAAAUUAAGAAACCUUCACAGAAAUAAUACACCAGUUGGUUUGAAUUCAGAGUUAGCUAUGAUCUAGACAAUGCCUCAUGGUGUUCACCUGGCAAGAAGAUUUCCAACACUUGUGGUAAGUAUUGUCUCCCUUACAUUGCACCGUUCAGUUUCAUUACAUCUGCAUCCUCACGUUAAAGGGAUAUCCUCCCAGAUGGCAGCAGAAUAAUUCACAACUUGCAGUCAUGACCCUUCUGUGCAAGAAUGUUGCAUAGAUUUCAGGUGAAUCUAAAGGAAGCUUCCCAAACAGAGGGACCUUCAGCCUGGCAUAUUCAUUGGUUAACUUUAAAGAAAAACCUUUUUGCUAUUUGUUUGCUUCUGAAUUUGCUGAUUAUUCCAGGGCUACAGUUUUGUGAGUACGAGCUGUUAUUCUAAUACUUUGGCCACUGUUUAUGUGAAUCCACACAUUGAUCUUCAGCAGCAUUUCCGCCUGAUACUUGCACACUUGAACUUGCAAACACGAUCUGCCAGGCAGCGAGCAGGUUCAAGCAGCCUGCCUGGUUUUCCAAUCUUGUGGUGCAGGCUUGCUGAGCCAUUGCCUCGCAUUCUCUAUCCAGCAGUAAUCCGCUGGAACCAGAAGCUGGGUCGUCUGCACAUCAAAUGGUGCAUUCACUUUAGAGACCCCUCUGGAGAGAGGUUUCAUGCAUCCAAACGUCUUUAUUGUGUUUUAUUAAUGUAUCAAAGAACAAACAGGUAUGACCUCGCCAGGUUUGUUCAGUCUGAGGAACAUAAACCUAGCUUAAAUGUGAUGGACUUGAACCCUACACUGUUCAAAUCAUGAGGUAGCCUCUGAACUAAUUGCUUUAUUAAAUUGCUCUUAGGACCAUUUGGAGCUUUUUUUUCACCCUUUUCUCUCUUUCUCUUUUUCUCUCUCUCUCUCUCUCUCCACUGGGGACACACAUAGGCAGACAUUUUGUCUGAUUGAGAAGGGAAACAGGCCUUAAUUAAAUCUAAAAAAUCACACAACACCAGGUUAUAGUCCAACAGGUUUAUUUGGAAGCACUAGCUUUCAAGGUCCUGCCUCUUCAUCAAGACAGCCAUCUGCUGAAGAGGCAGCGCCUCACAAGCUUGUUCUUCCAAAUAAAUCUGUUGGACUAUAACCUGGUGUUGUGUGAUUUUUAACUUUGCCCACCCCAGUCCAACACCGGCACAUCCAAAUCUUAAUUAAAUCUGACCUCAUUCCCUUUUCCAAUUGUCUCUGUAGUGACAUGAAGAUUUUGAUACUUUGAGUCGUUGCAUCAAAUAACU